GUGGCCAAGAGGUUCAGUAGUUUUUGUUUAGUGCUGCUGUUCAGUGGUUCCACUUCAAUUGAGAAAGUGCGGCAGUUAAUGGUUCACAAAUCCUGGCCAGGACUGAACGCCAUCUAGAAAACAUGGACUGGAAGACUUGGAUGCUGUUUGCGAGCCUUCUGUUGAUUUUUCCUGUUUGCACUUCGGCCCCUAAAGAUUGCCAUGAAGGAGAUAAAUCUAUUGUGAAACUCAAAGGAUGUAAAGGGAAACAGCAUUAUGUUGUUGCUGAUAACUUCUUUGCAUUCAUCAAUGCACGCAAACAUUGGAAA